UACAGAGGGUGCAAGCGUUAAUCGGAAUUACUGGGCGUAAAGCGUGCGUAGACGGUUACAUAAGUCGGGUGUGAAAGCCCCGGGCUCAACCUGGGAAUGGCGCGCGAAACGGGGGGGCUUGAGUUCGGGAGAGGAGCGUGGAAUUCCCAGUGUAGAGGUGAAAUUCGUAGAUAUUGGGAAGAACACCGGUGGCGAAGGCGGCGCUCUGGACCGAGACUGACGCUGAGGCGCGAAAGCGUGGGGAGCGAACAGG
rnacentral:rRNA from 1 species